GUGUUCCACUCCACUCUGUAUAGACAUCUGCCCUGACUGAAUGUGUUCUGUCACUCAGCUUUGCUUCUGACACCUCGGUUUCCUCUUCCCCUUUCUCCUCGUAUGUGUGUUUACCUAAACUAUAUACCAUAAACCUCAAGUUAUUCAUUUUAUUUUGUUUUCAUUUUGGGGUGAAGAUUCAGUUUCAGUCUUUUGGAUAUAGAUUUCCAGUUAAGUACAUGGUCAAGUAUUAACAGCACAAGUGAUAGGUUAACGUUAGAAUAGGAAUUGGUGUUGGGGGGGUUGCAAGAAUAUUUUAUUUUAAUUUUUUGGAUGAAAUUUUUAUCUAUUAUAUAUUAAACAUUCUUGCUGCUGCGCUGCAAAGCCAUAGCAGAUUUGAGGCGCUGUUGAGGACUGAAUUAUUCUCCAAGUUGGGAGAUGUCCUUGGGUUAAAUUAAAAGCCCUGCCUAAAACUGAGGUGGGGAUGGGAGAGCCUUGCCUCCACCAUUCCCACCCCAUCCUCCCCUUAAACCCUCUGCCUUUGAAAGCAGAUCAUGUUCACUGCGAUGCUGGACACUACAGGUAUCUGUUCCUGGGCCAGCAGGGACCUCUGAAGCCUUCUUUGUGGCCUGGAUUAUUUUUUUGUUUUUAUUUUUUUUCGUCCUGUGGUUUUUCUAAUGGACUUUCAGGAAUUUUGUAAUCUAAUAACUUUCCAAGCUCCACCACUCCCUAAAUCUUAAGAACUUUAAUUGACAGUUUCAAUUGAAGGUGCUGUUUGUAGACUUAACACCCAGUGAAAGCCCAGCCAUCAUGACAAAUCCUUGAAUGUUCUCUUAAGAAAAUGAUGCUGGUCAUCGCAGCUUCAGCAUCUCCUGUUUUUUGAUGCUUGGCUCCCUCUGCUGAUCUCAGAGUUUCCUGGCUUUUCCUCCCUCAGCCCCUUCUCACCCCUUUGCUGUCCUGUGUAGUGAUUUGGUGAGAGAAAUCGUUGCUGCCCCCUCCCCCCAGCACCAUAUAUGAGUCUCAAGUUUUAUUAUUGCAAUAAAAGUGCUUUAUGCCGGCUUUUCUCAAAAAAAAAAAAAAAAA
rnacentral:lncRNA from 1 species